UGGGGAAUAUUGCACAAUGGACGGAAGUCUGAUGCAGCAACGCCGCGUGCGGGAUGACGGCCUUCGGGUUGUAAACCGCUUUUUCUCAUGACGAAGUUUUUUGACGGUAGUGGGGGAAGAAGCACCGGCUAACUACGUGCCAGCAGCCGCGGUGAUACGUAGGGUGCGAGCGUUGUCCGGAAUUAUUGGGCGUAAAGAGCUUGUAGGCGGUUUGUCGCGUCGAUAGUGCAAACUCGGUGCUUAACGCUGAGCCUGCUGUUGAUACGGGCAGACUAGAGGAAGGUAGGGGGGAAUGGAAUUCCCGGUGGAGAGGUGGAAUGCGCAGAUAUCGGGAGGAACACCGGUGGCGAAGGCGGUUCUCUGGGCCUUUCCUGACGCUGAGAAGCGAAAGCGUGGGGAGCGAACAGG
rnacentral:rRNA from 1 species